GAGUUGGAGUGUUGCUUUCGGGACUUUGACACAGGUGCUGCAUGGCUGUCGUCAGCUCGUGUCGUGAGAUGUUGGGUUAAGUCCCGCAACGAGCGCAACCCUUGUCCUUAGUUGCCAGCACUUCAUGGGGGAAACUCUAGGGAAACGGCCGGGGACAAACCGAAGAAAGGGGGGAAUAACUUCAAUUCUUCUGGGCCCUUACAGCCAGGGUUACCCCCUUCCUACAUGGGUAAGACCAAAGGGCUGCAAACCGCCAACGGGAACCCAAUCCCAAAAACCCUAUCUAAUUCCGAAUUGAAUUCUGCACCUCACCUCCUUGAAUUCGAAUUCCUUAUUAAUCGGGAAUCAAAUUUCCUGCGGAAAAUAUUUCCCGGGCCUUUGCACACCCCCCCUAUA
rnacentral:rRNA from 1 species